CCUACGGGGGGCUGCAGUGGGGGAUAUUGGACAAUGGGGGGAACCCUGAUCCAGCGACGCCGCGUGAGUGAAGAAGUAUUUCGGUAUGUAAAGCUCUGUCAGCAGGGAAGAAAGAAAUGACGGUACCUGACCAAGAAGCCCCGGCUAACUACGUGCCAGCAGCCGCGGUAAUACGUAGGGGGCAAGCGUUAUCCGGAAUUACUGGGUGUAAAGGGGGCGUAGACGGUUAAGUAAGUCUGGAGGGAAAGGCCGGGGCCCAACCCCGGGACUGCUCUGGAAACUAUUGAACUUGAGUGCAGGAGAGGUAAGCGGAAUUCCUAGUGUAGCGGUGAAAUGCGGAGAUAUUAGGAGGAACACCAGUGGCGAAGGCGGCUUACUGGACUGUAACUGACGUUGAGGCUCGAAAGCGUGGGGAGCAAACAGGAUUAGAUACCCGAGUAGUC
rnacentral:rRNA from 1 species